rnacentral:rRNA from 1 species
UGAGUAACCUUCCCUUGACUCUGGGAUAAGCCUGGGAAACCGGGUCUAAUACCGGAUACGACCGGUCACCGCAUGGUGGUUGGUGGAAAGAUUUAUCGGUCUUGGAUGGACUCGCGGCCUAUCAGCUGGUUGGUGGGGUAAUGGCCUACCAAGGCGACGACGGGUAGCCGGCCUGAGAGGGUGACCGGCCACACUGGGACUGAGACACGGCCCAGACUCCUACGGGAGGCAGCAGUGGGGAAUAUUGCACAAUGGGCGCAAGCCUGAUGCAGCGACGCCGCGUGAGGGAUGACGGCCUUCGGGUUGUAAACCUCUUUCAGUAGGGAAGAAGCGAAAGUGACGGUACCUGCAGAAGAAGCGCCGGCUAACUACGUGCCAGCAGCCGCGGUAAUACGUAGGGCGCGAGCGUUAUCCGGAAUUAUUGGGCGUAAAGAGCUCGUAGGCGGUUUGUCGCGUCUGCCGUGAAAGUCCGGGGCUUAACCCCGGAUCUGCGGUGGGUACGGGCAGACUGGAGUGCAGUAGGGGAGACUGGAAUUCCUGGUGUAGCGGUGAAAUGCGCAGAUAUCAGGAGGAACACCGAUGGCGAAGGCAGGUCUCUGGGCUGUUACUGACGCUGAGGAGCGAAAGCAUGGGGAGCGAACAGGAUUAGAUACCCUGGUAGUCCAUGCCGUAAACGUUGGGCACUAGGUGUGGGGGCCAUUCCACGGUUUCCGCGCCGCAGCUAACGCAUUAAGUGCCCCGCCUGGGGAGUACGGCCGCAAGGCUAAAACUCAAAGGAAUUGACGGGGGCCCGCACAAGCGGCGGAGCAUGCGGAUUAAUUCGAUGCAACGCGAAGAACCUUACCAAGGCUUGACAUGUUCCCGACCGCCACAGAGAUGUGGUUUCCCCUUUGGGGCGGGUUCACAGGUGGUGCAUGGUUGUCGUCAGCUCGUGUCGUGAGAUGUUGGGUUAAGUCCCGCAACGAGCGCAACCCUCGUUCCAUGUUGCCAGCGGGUUAUGCCGGGGACUCAUGGGAGACUGCCGGGGUCAACUCGGAGGAAGGUGGGGACGACGUCAAAUCAUCAUGCCCCUUAUGUCUUGGGCUUCACGCAUGCUACAAUGGCCGGUACAAUGGGUUGCGAUACUGUGAGGUGGAGCCAAUCCCAAAAAGCCGGUCUCAGUUCGGAUUGGGGUCUGCAACUCGACCCCAUGAAGUCGGAGUCGCUAGUAAUCGCAG